CAUGCAAGUCGUACGCUUCUUUUUCCACCGGAGCUUGCUCCACCGGAAAAAGAAGAGUGGCGAACGGGUGAGUAACACGUGGGUAACCUGCCCAUCAGAAGGGGAUAACACUUGGAAACAGGUGCUAAUACCGUAUAACAAUCGAAACCGCAUGGUUUUGAUUUGAAAGGCGCUUUCGGGUGUCGCUGAUGGAUGGACCCGCGGUGCAUUAGCUAGUUGGUGAGGUAACGGCUCACCAAGGCCACGAUGCAUAGCCGACCUGAGAGGGUGAUCGGCCACAUUGGGACUGAGACACGGCCCAAACUCCUACGGGAGGCAGCAGUAGGGAAUCUUCGGCAAUGGACGAAAGUCUGACCGAGCAACGCCGCGUGAGUGAAGAAGGUUUUCGGAUCGUAAAACUCUGUUGUUAGAGAAGAACAAGGAUGAGAGUAACUGUUCAUCCCUUGACGGUAUCUAACCAGAAAGCCACGGCUAACUACGUGCCAGCAGCCGCGGUAAUACGUAGGUGGCAAGCGUUGUCCGGAUUUAUUGGGCGUAAAGCGAGCGCAGGCGGUUUCUUAAGUCUGAUGUGAAAGCCCCCGGCUCAACCGGGGAGGGUCAUUGGAAACUGGGAGACUUGAGUGCAGAAGAGGAGAGUGGAAUUCCAUGUGUAGCGGUGAAAUGCGUAGAUAUAUGGAGGAACACCAGUGGCGAAGGCGGCUCUCUGGUCUGUAACUGACGCUGAGGCUCGAAAGCGUGGGGAGCAAACAGGAUUAGAUACCCUGGUAGUCCACGCCGUAAACGAUGAGUGCUAAGUGUUGGAGGGUUUCCGCCCUUCAGUGCUGCAGCUAACGCAUUAAGCA
rnacentral:rRNA from 1 species